rnacentral:rRNA from 1 species
GGGGCACUCUGAACCAGCCAUGCCGCGUGCAGGAAGAAGGCCCUAUGGGUCGUAAACUGCUUUUAUACGGGAGAAAACCUAUGUACGUGUACGUAGUUGAUAGUACUGUAAGAAUAAGGAUCGGCUAACUUCGUGCCAGCAGCCGCGGUAAGACGAAGGAUUCAAGCGUUAUCCGGAUUCAUUGGGUUUAAAGGGAGCGUAGGCGGAUUUAUAAGUCAGUGGUGAAAGCCGAUAGCUUAACUAUCGAAUUGCCAUUGAUACUGUAGAUCUAGAGUACAGAUGAUGUUGGCGGAAUAUGACAUGUAGCGGUGAAAUGCAUAGAUAUGUCAUAGAACACCGAUUGCGAAGGCAGCUGACAAAACUGUAACUGACGCUGAGGCUCGAAAGUGCGGGGAUCAAACAGGAUUAGAUACCCUGGUAGUCCGCACAGUAAACGAUGAUAACUAGAUGUUUGCGAUAUACAGUAAGCGUCCAAGCGAAAGCGAUAAGUUAUCCACCUGGGGAGUACGCCCGCAAGGGUGAAACUCAAAGAAAUUGACGGA